AAGGAAGAUGUUAACCAGACAGAUCACGAGAAUUCUCCUUUAAUAUUACACAGUGUUUUACAAAGUACCAAACUUUAAAAAGAUAUUAGCUUGUGAUAACAUGUAAUAAAUAACUUCAAAAUGCAAUGGGUAUUUAAUUUUAAUGCCU